UAUUUUUAAAGAAAUCUCCUGAAGGCACCAGUGGAGAUAGAGACAGAGAGAGAGGGGUAGGGAUGAAGAGAGAGAGGGGUAGGGAUGAAGAGAGAGAGGGGUAGGGAUGAAGAGAGAGAGGGGUAGGGAUGAAGAGAGAGAGUAAAAGAGUAAGGGAGAGAGAGAGAGCACUGCAGAAAGAGCGCGAGGGAGAAAGAGGGGGAGACUUUGGAGGGCUUCUGGAUUGAGACCUGGUGGAUCACUCAUAAAGCUCAGUCUGUGUGGGACUGUGUGAUCUAUGUGUAUGGCAUAGCACUGUGUGAUCUAUGUGUAUGGCAUAGCACUGUGUGAUCUCUGUGUAUGGCAUAGCACUGUGUGAUCUAUGUGUAUGGCAUAGCACUGUGUGAUCUCUGUGUAUGGCAUAGCACUGUGUGAUCUCUGUGUAUGGCAUAGCACUGUGUGAUCUCUGUGUAUGGCAUACCACUGUGUGAUCUCUGUGUAUGGCAUAUGUGAUGUAAGGAUGUAGUACUGUUGCAGAGGGGGUGUGUUGUGAUGUAAGGGAUGCAGUACUGUUGCAGAGGGUGUGUGUUGUGUUGUAGUACUGUUGCAGAGGGUGUGUAUUGUGAUGUAAGGGAUGUGGUACUGUUGCAGAGGGUGUGUUGUUGUGAUGAGGGAUGUAGUCUUGUUGCAGAGGGUGUGUUUGUGAUGUAAGGGAUGCAGUACUGUUGCAGAGGGUGUUGUGUGUUGUGUUGUAGUGUGCAAGUACUGUUGCAGAGGGUGUGUGUUGUGAUGUAAGGGAUGUAUACUGUUGGCAGAGGGUGUGUUUGUGUUGUAGUGAUGUGUACUGUUGCAGAGGGUGUGUGUUGUGAUGUAAGGGAUGCAGUACUGUUGCAGGGGUGGUGUGUGUGUUGUAGUGAUUUAGUAUGUUGCAGAGGGUGUGUGUUGUGAUGUAAGGAUGCAGUACUGUUGCAGAGGGUGUGUGUUGUGUUUUAGUGAUGCGUACUGUUACAGAGGGGUGUUUUGAUGAAGGGAUGUAGUAAUGUUGGAGAGGUUGUGUGUGUGUGAUGUAGGAUGCAGUACUGUUGCAGAGGGUUGUGUGUGUGAUGUAAGGUGAUGUGGUACUGUUGCAGAGUGUGUGUGUUGUGAUGUAAGGGAUGUGUUACUGUUGCAGAGGGUGUGUGUUGUGAUGUAAGGGAUUGGUACUGUUGCAGAGGGUUGUGUUGUGAUGUAAGGGAUUGUAGGUACUGUGCAGAGGUGUGUGGUUGUGAUGUAAGGGUGUAGUACUGGCAGAGGGUGU
rnacentral:lncRNA from 1 species